rnacentral:rRNA from 1 species
AACGAACGCUGGCGGCAUGCCUAACACAUGCAAGUCGAACGAGACCUCCGGGUCUAGUGGCGCUCGGGUGCGUCACGCGUGGGAACCUGCCCUUAGGUUCGGAAUUACUCCCCGAAAGGGGUGCUAAUACCGGAUAAUGUCUUCGGACCCAACAUUUAUCGUCAUUGAAUGGGCCCGCGUUGGAUUAGCUAGUUGGUAGAGUAAAAGCCUAUCAAGGCGACGAUCCAUAGCUGGUCUGAGAGGAUGAUCAGCCACACUGGGACUGGGACCUGCCCCAGACUAUUACGGGAGGCGGGAGUGGGGAAUAUUGAACAAUGGGGGGAGGCCUGAUACGGCCAUGGCGUGGGAGUGCUGAAGGGCUGAGGGUUGUAAAGCGCUUUUACCCGGGAUGAUGUUGACAGUACCGGGAGAAUAAGCGCCGGCUAACUCCGUG